UAGUAUAUUACUACUUGGAUAACCGUGGUAAUUCUAGAGCUAAUACAUGCUACAAAUCCCGACUUCGGAAGGGAUGUAUUUAUUAGAUUAAAAACCAAUGCCCUCUGGGCUCCUUGGUGACUCAUGAUAACUUCUCGAAUCGCAUGGCCUUGCGCCGGCGAUGGUUCAUUCAAAUUUCUUCCCUAUCAACUUUCGAUGUUUGGGUAGUGGCCAAACAUGGUUACAACGGGUAACGGAGGGUUAGGGCUCGACCCCGGAGAAGGAGCCUGAGAAACGGCUACUACAUCCAAGGAAGGCAGCAGGCGCGCAAAUUACCCAAUCCCGAUUCGGGGAGGUAGUGACAAUAAAUACUGAUACAGGGCUCUUUUGGGUCUUGUAAUUGGAAUGAGUACAAUUUAAAUCCCUUAACGAGGAACAAUUGGAGGGCAAGUCUGGUGCCAGCAGCCGCGGUAAUUCCAGCUCCAAUAGCGUAUAUUAAAGUUGUUGUGGUUAAAAAGCUCGUAGUUGAACCUUGGGCCUGGCUGGCCGGUCCGCCUCACCGCGUGUACUGGUCCGGCCGGGCCUUUCCCUCUGUGGAACCCCAUGCCCUUCACUGGGCGUGGCGGGGAAACAGGACUUUUACUUUGAAAAAAUUAGAGUGCUCCAGGCAGGCCUAUGCUCGAAUACAUUAGCAUGGAAUAAUGAAAUAGGACGUGCGGUUCUAUUUUGUUGGUUUCUAGGACCGCCGUAAUGAUUAAUAGGGACAGUCGGGGGCAUCAGUAUUCAAUUGUCAGAGGUGAAAUUCUUGGAUUUAUUGAAGACUAACUACUGCGAAAGCAUUUGCCAAGGAUGUUUUCAUUAAUCAGGAACGAAAGUUAGGGGAUCGAAGACGAUCAGAUACCGUCGUAGUCUUAACCAUAAACUAUGCCGA
rnacentral:rRNA from 1 species